rnacentral:rRNA from 1 species
GUGGGUAGUUUGACUGGGGCGGUCUCCUCCUAAAGAGUAACGGAGGAGCACGAAGGUUGGCUAAUCCUGGUCGGACAUCAGGAGGUUAGUGCAAUGGCAUAAGCCAGCUUGACUGCGAGCGUGACGGCGCGAGCAGGUGCGAAAGCAGGUCAUAGUGAUCCGGUGGUUCUGAAUGGAAGGGCCAUCGCUCAACGGAUAAAAGGUACUCCGGGGAUAACAGGCUGAUACCGCCCAAGAGUUCAUAUCGACGGCGGUGUUUGGCACCUCGAUGUCGGCUCAUCACAUCCUGGGGCUGAAGUAGGUCCCAAGGGUAUGGCUGUUCGCCAUUUAAAGUGGUACGCGAGCUGGGUUUAGAACGUCGUGAGACAGUUCGGUCCCUAUCUGCCGUGGGCGCUGGAGAACUGAGGGGGGCUGCUCCUAGUACGAGAGGACCGGAGUGGACGCAUCACUGGUGUUCGGGUUGUCAUGCCAAUGGCACUGCCCGGUAGCUAAAUGCGGAAGAGAUAAGUGCUGAAAGCAUCUAAGCACGAAACUUGCCCCGAGAUGAGUUCUCCCUGAGACUUAAAGUCUCCUGAAGGAACGUUGAAGACGACGACGUUGAUAGGCCGGGUGUGUAAGCGCAGCGAUGCGUUGAGCUAACCGGUACUAAUGAACCGUGAGGCUUAACCUUACA